rnacentral:snoRNA from 1 species
CUUUCAUGUUUCUAUUAAUAAAAUUCAUAAAGUUAGCGUUGUUUAUCAGCUUCUUCUCUUGAAUAUCCAACGGGAUGGAUUUAAAUCAUGGCACUACAUGU